rnacentral:lncRNA from 1 species
CGCUUCUGUGAGUAAAGGGCCCUGGAGCAGCAAGUCUGCAAAGCUGGGCUCUUUGUCCUCAGUCUGGACCGAGGUCCGGGCUUUGGUUCUCCUCCCCUCUCCAGUGGUUCUUGCCGUGUACUUCAAGCUAGGAGAGCAGUAAAGUUCUGCAUCCCCCAUGACUGGCCUCUCCUGUCCCUUAAUAACCCCCGACUCCUGACUGGCCUUGUUGGCCACAUCAUCUGGGAAUCUUUGAAAGGUCACCAGUCAUCCUCUGUUUGCUGAUGACGAGAAGAGUCAAGUUCCAAAGUGAUGAUAUUGUAGCCACACAGCAAAGGAGACCAUGGGUGACUAUUUCAGUUUGCCUGGCCAGCAGCCAUUUUGCCAAUCCCUGCAGUGCCUGAAGAGGAGUUUCUGACUUCAGUGAGCUUUCAGGUCUUUAAGUACCAAGUGUCUUGACAUGCCCUCAGACAUUCCAGGGCCACUCGGCAGGAAGAGGAGUGUCUCAGGGGAAGCGCAUGGAGAGAAAGCAAACACUGCUAAUUGCAGUUGAAAUGUCGACUCCCACUCUGUCCCCGCCACCCUUACUAUCUCAGAGAGUAAUUUUUAUUUAUUUUUCUCUGCAAUGUAAUUCACAUUAAACACUCUGAACAUGUU